rnacentral:lncRNA from 10 species
UGGACCACUGGGCUGGGACCCACGACCCCACCACCACGCCUGGAGGACGCGCAGCGGCGCCUCGGCCUUGGAAGGGGAGUUUCCCAGCGCGAGCCCCGCCCUUCCCCGCCCGGGAGGCGCCUCGGGGCGGGGUCACUGGCCGGGAGGCCCCGCCUUCCGCCCGAAAGCGCCGGUGCACCCCGCAGGCCCUGCCCGUGGGUCCACAGGCCGGAUCCCCGGGUUCCUAGGCUGGGACUGCUUCUCAGAACCACUCUGUCGUUUUUAAGCAGGGUCACACACUCUAGCUCACUGGGUCCAUUUUAAUUUCUAUUAAACAUUUUUUUUUUUUUGCAAAUGAUGUAGUAGGAGAUCCAAGGUGUUUGGUUAAUGAUUUAUUCACUCAUUAGUCAUUCCACAAACUUGUCUUGAGCACCUGUUAUGUACCCAGCACUGUGCUGGAAUGCUGAGGAGACAGGAGUGAAGUAAAAAGACAUGGUUCCGGCAGGAAACAGGCAAGGAGAGCCUUGACUUGACGGAGUCUGGCUAUAUCGCCAGGCUGGAAUGCAAUGGCGCGAUCUCUCCUCACUGCAACCUCCGCCUCCCGGGUUCAAGCGAUUCUCCUGCCUCAGCACCUCGAGUAGCUGGGACUACAGGCGCGCGCCACCACGCCCAGGUAAUUAAGAGGAAAUAACUCUACAUUCAAAUUUGAGCAGGGCACUUGGUGACCUACUUAGACAUGACAUUCCUUGGCCUCCCUUUCAGCAAGAUGAGAAAACUGAGGCACAGAGAGGUGAAAUAAGGAAUGAAAUAUUACUGGAUGAAAUAAUUAUACUGAUCCUAGCCUUAUUUUAAAAGGGCCCCCAGAAUGCUCUUCUCCAAGACUUAGAAAAAUCAAAUGCUAUCCAUCCCUCAAGAUACAUCCCUCCAGCCCCUCCUUGAAGUCUCCUGCAGCUAGAAGUAGAAGUAGCAUCUAUCCCCAUCUGGACUCCUUAGCACUUUGCUGUACCUGCCUUAGUCCCCAUCUCUUUACACACACACACACACACACACACACACACACAGAGUAUUAUAAUACUAUUACCUAUUAUAUUACAUUAUAUUAUUGUAGUUCUACAGGAACUACAAGGAAUUCUACUGUGAAUUCCUUAAGGGUGGGAUACAUUUUACAAUCAUCACUGUUUCUCUCAUUAGUUGUGGAAUCAAAAAAAUGAGUGCACGAUGAAAAAUUAUUCAAACACAUACAUGCUUUCAUUCCAAUUGAAAAUGUAAAAAUAUUACUGUUAAAACAAUAUUAAAGGACAUGUAAUACAAUUCAAAUAUUCCUACCAUGCACGAUUGUUUUCACUUCUUUGUGCCUCUUUCACCAUUUAUUUGUGUGCAUACUCAGCAUAUUUGUUUGUGUAACAGGAUGUUAAAAAUAGAAUUUGUUGCCUGUAGUUUUUGCUAAAGCUCUACUAGACUGGAACAGAACAAUAGGUGGUAAAUACUCCAUUCCUCAGUGAGAUGCUACCUACCUAUGCAGAGCUGGAAAAGAUUUUGCAACCUGAAAACCCAAUCCUUUCUGAGAUAUAAAAGAACAGAAGAGUCUGGAAGUGAUUUCUUCGGAGAAAUUCAUUUUCUUAUUCCAGAGAAGAAACUUCAAGCUCAGAAUAUUGGCUACUACCUGUGAUAAACAUUUAAAUUAUUGGAACGAGAGAGUUUUUAUAACUAAAUUUGAAAGAAGCAAUUUUUUUUAUCAAAGACCAACCCGAAGAUUCAUGACCACUACCUGUGAUUUCAUCCAUGUUGCAAGGAAAAUCCUGCCCCACUUCCCCAAUAGGAAGAGUGGUGGGGGAAUAAUAAAGUUGUUUUAUGAUGCAUCCUGUGGACUUCUACUCGACAGAAUGGUAACAUUCAACUGUAAUCAGGAUGAGCAAGCCACUUUAUUAAACUAAAAUUUUAAACUUUAAUAAAUAUAAUACAAACUGAAAAAUAAAAAUAAUUUUUCAACUCUACACAAGUAUGUUAACUGCAUAAACAGUGAGAUGUUACACAGGGCUGAGGCCUAUACUUCUUCAGUUUGUACAUUAAACGUCUCCAUGGAGGGUCAAUUGCAUCCUACCUAUUCUGACAGUUAUCAGGUAGCGAGAGAUUUGAGGAAGAGGCGCUUUUCUAAUCUGGGGUAGGAAAAGGAAUGAUACCAUGUAUCAUGAGAAGUAUUUGCACAUAGUGUGUCAAUUAAGCAAGUGCUCAGACUAUUAACAACAUUACUAUGUGAUGAAUGUUUAUACAGUGGAUUCAAAAAUAAGCUUCUUUCCAGAAAGCAGCUUAGUUUUCAUUAAUUAUUACCAGCAUCUUGGUAAUUAUUUAUUUAAUGGUUUAAAAGUUAAAGUUUCAAUCUAUAUUUGUUUUUUUAACAUCAGCCAAGGAAAUACAUGUCUGUUAUACUGCAUCUUUGGAAGUAUGCAAUAAGUGUAACUAUUGAAUCUAUAUUGAAGAGCCACAAGACACUGAAUUUAAUUGGACGAGACUAUUUUAUUUAGGAAGACAAUCAUCUCCUGUGAUCAGCUUAAGGUUUUUGUUUUGUUUUAUCUGGAACAAGCUAAGUUCAUAUUUAGAAAAUAAAGUUAGUUUUUUGGGUGCAUGAGUUUUAGAGUAAAUUAGUAAUUUAGUAAACUUUGACAUUUCCACUUUGUCUCCAAACACAUUUAAAUUCUAUCUGUCUGACUGAAGUUCUAAGGCAUUCUGUGGUUACUUAGAAAUGAUUCCUUAUAUUAAUGUUUACAAAUGCUAAAUUGUAUUUGUUAAAUACAUGUCUUAUUGCCUAAGAGUUUUCCUUUCUUAUAAGUUUAAUAUAAAUGUCUAGGAAAUAAGACUCCCAUUUAAUAGCUUAUAAAGAAUGCUGAUGUAUCAGCAGUGGCCUUGACAUUAUUGGAUACAAGUAAGAUCUACACUGAUGAUUAAAUCAAAUUGGCUAAGAUUAUUCGUUCUAAUAAAAGCACUGACUCCAUGAAGUUUUCUUGUGGCUGAAAUUAACAUUCGUGUUCCUACAAGCUCUUUAAAAUCUUAGUUACUGAAAAUUAUUCCUUUUGACCUAAUUUUUUCUUUACUUUGGAUGUAUUUGACAAGGUAGAGGUUAGGGAUUGGAGAGUAUGUAAAGAAUGAAAUAAAAUGUAGUCACUUUUAACUAUAUCCACAUA